AUUGAACGCUGGCGGCAGGCUUAACACAUGCAAGUCGAGCGGUAACAGAGAGAAGCUUGCUUCUCUGCUGACGAGCGGCGGACGGGUGAGUAAUGCCUAGGAAUCUGCCUAGUAGUGGGGGAUAACUUGCCGAAAGGUAAGCUAAUACCGCAUACGUCCUACGGGAGAAAGGAGGGGACCUUCGGGCCUUUCGCUAUUAGAUGAGCCUAGGUCGGAUUAGUUAGUUGGUGAGGUAAUGGCUCACCAAGACCGCGAUCCGUAACUGGUCUGAGAGGAUGAUCAGUCACACUGGAACUGAGACACGGUCCAGACUCCUACGGGAGGCAGCAGUGGGGAAUAUUGGACAAUGGGGGGAACCCUGAUCCAGCCAUGCCGCGUGUGUGAAGAAGGUCUUAGGAUUGUAAAGCACUUUAAGUUGGGAGGAAGAGCAGUUAACUACUAUUUGACUGAUUUGACGUUACCGACAGAAUAAGCACCGGCUAACCUCGUGCCAGCCGCCGCAGUAA
rnacentral:rRNA from 1 species